CCUACGGGAGGCAGCAGUGAGGAAUAUUGGUCAAUGGCCGCAGGGCUGAACCAGCCAAGUCGCGUGAGGGAUGACGGUCCUAUGGAUUGUAAACCUCUUUUGUCAGGGAGCAAAGGGCGCCACGUGUGGCGCUUUGCGAGUACCUGAAGAAAAAGCAUCGGCUAACUCCGUGCCAGCAGCCGCGGUAAUACGGAGGAUGCGAGCGUUAUCCGGAUUUAUUGGGUUUAAAGGGUGCGCAGGCGGAAUGUCAAGUCAGCGGUAAAAUUUCGGGGCUCAACCCCGUCGUGCCGUUGAAACUGGCGUUCUUGAGUGAGCGAGAAGUAUGCGGAAUGCGUGGUGUAGCGGUGAAAUGCAGAGAUAUCACGCAGAACUCCGAUUGCGAAGGCAGCAUACCGGCGCUCAACUGACGCUGAGGCACGAAAGCGUGGGGAUCGAACAGGAUUAGAUACCCUUGUAGUC
rnacentral:rRNA from 1 species